GCUAGCGCGCUAGCGGCAUUUGUUGCUUUCAUGCUUAUUGUUGUUGAAGUUCUUGUUUCAACAACCUGUGGAUUAAAUUACCUUCCUAUUAAAGAAAAAUUGCAAUAAUGGUACUAUAAAUGGUUGAUAAGAUUUUAUUUUGUGAUUUGUUACAAUAGUUUUAUAAUGCAAGUAUUGAAAUAUUGAUAAAAACAGCGAUUUGGAGGGAAAAUCGUUUUGUGGUGGUGUGGCAUCAGAUCAAGUUGUGAUGCCGGGACGGCUACCGCUAGCUCAUGCAUUAUUUCUUCCAACACAUAAUCGUGUCUUUAACCAUUAUCAUCAAGAAAUAAUCAAACUUGGUAAUUUUUUACUUUAACUACUUCUGGAUUUUCAAGCUGAAACUUACGCCAAACGAUUCCUCUGAGUGCCCUGAUGACCGUACACUAUGAAUUUUCUUGUGCAAAUUGAAAAUAACAUUACAAAAAUAAUUUUUAUUUUCACUCAUUUCACUUGAAUCGCCAUUUUUGUUGAUUUUAAGGGA